AUGCGCCCCUCCUCGCGCCAGCGGGUGGCCGCCUGGCUGCUCGCGCUGCCGUUGGGGAGAGGUGGAGAGGAAUGCGCGCGCCGUGGCCGCCUGGAGAUGAUCUCGUUUUGGCUGCUGUGCUGGAAGCUGUUGAGAGCCACAGCCGGGCUCAGGAGGGCAACACCUGAGCUAACGGACGGUAACCAGGACGACGGCAGCGCCAGCGACAAUAACCCUGUCAACAACUCUUUGACCCCAAUACAGCCAACAGAUCCAGUUACCAUGGCAAUUAGCUCAUCGCCGCCGCUAACAGAGCUUGAAAGAGAAAAUUUGAUUAGCUGGAACAACCGAGAAUUAGAGGAACCCAAUUACCCAGAGGUCCAUGGGAUGCAGCAGCCAAGCAGGAAGGAGCCGGAGGUAGAAGAGCCGACAGAGGGAGACAAUGGAAAAACAGAUGGAGACGAGUGUGACUAUCUUGUCUUUGAUAUUGGACAGCAGAAGGGAGGAGAAGAAAUGGGGGGGUGGGGUGGAGGAAAAGCAGAAACAAGGAGUGAAGAUUUAGGGGGAAGAGGAGUUGAGGGAGAAGAUGAAGGGAGAGUAAAAAUAGAAGGUGAGUAUGAAGCGAUUGGAGAAAGAGAGAGAGAAGACUCUAAAGAAGAGGACGGGUGGAUAGGAAAGACGGUGGGGGAGAUGAAAGAUGAUGCUCUGGCAGAGCUGCCCUUCAUCUCUGACAGUCCAGUCUGUCCUUCAUCAUCAGAGCCCCUGGGUGGCACAUCCCUUCCUGCAGAGCAGCCUGCAAUAGCGGCCACGUUGCAGAAGGCCUGGGGUCACGACCUUGGAAACAGAGAUGACUUAAGCGAUGGUCACCUUAGUGACUGCCUCCAAGCUGAGCUGGCUAUCGUGUACUCGGACAGUGACGCAGGGGAGGACCAAUGGGCAGCCUUCGCGCCCUGUGAUGUCACCAACCAGGAAGAAGCAGAUGGAAAGAAUCAUGAUAGCAUCUGUGAUAUAGAGAGCAAGGAAGAGAAGAGAGAGGAAGAGAGUAGGGAGAGAGCGGAGGAUGAAGAUGAGUCAGUAGAGACUGGAGCAGAGGACCAGAGAGAGGAGGAAGUCGAGAAGGAGCAGGAAGAGAGGAGGGGAGGCGGGGAUGAUGAUGAAGAGCAGAUGAAGAUGAGGAGAGAUGUUUUUUUGCGCUCUCCCUCUGUCUGCUCUACAGCCAGCCCCACAGACCCUGACAGGAAGGUUCCUGUAGAUUUCUGUGUCCACCAAGACACCCUCAGUGAAAAUGUCUCCACUGAGCAUGUAGACUUUCUGUUGGCCUGCAAGCAGUGGAAGAAGAUGGAGGAGGAGGUCAAAGGUCAACCAUUCCCCAAACCGGGGCUGAGAGCUCAGGGGAGCUUCCAGGGCACCCAUACUUCACUAUACCCUCCCACUCGCAGCCCUCGCCUCAAACACAGGGAGAUCCAUCCACCAGUGCCAAGGGAGUCGCCCCUCUCCUCCACACUGUCCCCCAGUUCAGAGGACUCAGGCCUGGAUGACUCAUCAUACCGCAGCCCCCUGGAGGAGCCAGAGACCCCGGUGGAGAGAGAGAUCCGGCUGACUCUUGAGAGAGAGGAGCGACACCGCAGAGAGAGGGGAAUGAUUGCACAGGGCCUGACUAUAUCUAGACCAUCCACCCUUCAAACAGGACGAUCUCCACCCAGACCUCCGGCCUGCCGCACCCCUACCUUGUCCAUCUCCCCGUCCCCCUCCUGCUCCUCUUCCCUUCCCCGAUCAGUCUACCAUGAAAUGACAGCUAAUAAUGUUAUUAUCUUGGAGCCUGACUGCUCCAGCUCCGCCUCCAGGAACCGCCUACUCUCCUCUGCAAUUGGAGGCCUCUCCGAUUGGCCAACAGGCCUGGAUACAGUGCCUUCUGCCAACGUCAUUGUUGUGGAAACCUCCAAUCUGAUCAUUCGCAGCGCUUCCGAGUUCUGCCUAAGCUCCGCCCCUGUGUCUAUGGAAACCCAGGAGAGCACUUUCUCGUCAAAUCCAUUUUUCAAACUACGCUCUCUCAGCAGCCAGUCGCUGGUGGAGCAAGAGAUUCGCAUGGUGAGGCAGAGGGAGGAGGAGUGGAGGAGGCAGAGGGAUGAGAUGUGGAGGAGGAGGCAGGAGGAGGAGUGGAGGAAAGGGAGAGAGAGGUACGAAACAGUGCUUGUGUCUCCAGGCCUGGGCGAUAACAUCACUUUCAAUGUGCCAGAGGUUUCAGACAGAUGUGUAUCCUCCCCAUCGUCUCCCUCUAGGACCCGCAAAAUGGAACGAUCCAGUUUGUCUUGUGACCACAAGGAAUCGUAAAAACGGAAAAAGUCAAGAGCCUGUGGGUUCCACAGCCUGCCCGAUGG
ensembl:lncRNA